ACUCCUACGGGAGGCAGCAGUGGGAAUAUUGCACAAUGGGGGGAAGCCCUCGAUCCAGCCAUGCCGCGUGUGUGAAGAAGGCCUUAUGGUUGUAAAGCACUUUAAGCGAGGAGGAGGCUACUGAGACUAAUACUCUUGGAUAGUGGACGUUACUCGCAGAAUAAGCACCGGCUAACUCUGUGCCAGCAGCCGCGGUAAUACAGAGGGUGCGAGCGUUAAUCGGAUUUACUGGGCGUAAAGCGUGCGUAGGCGGCUUUUUAAGUCGGAUGUGAAAUCCCCGAGCUUAACUUGGGAAUUGCAUUCGAUACUGGGAAGCUAGAGUAUGGGAGAGGAUGGUAGAAUUCCAGGUGUAGCGGUGAAAUGCGUAGAGAUCUGGAGGAAUACCGAUGGCGAAGGCAGCCAUCUGGCCUAAUACUGACGCUGAGGUACGAAAGCAUGGGGAGCAAACAGGAUUAGAUACCCUGGUAGGUCAGU
rnacentral:rRNA from 1 species